GUGGGGAAUUUUGCGCAAUGGGGGAAACCCUGACGCAGCGACGCCGCGUGGAGGAUGAAGGCCUUCGGGUUGUAAACUCCUUUUGCGGGGGAAAAUGGUGAUGGUACCCCGCGAAUAAGCCACGGCUAACUCUGUGCCAGCAGCCGCGGUAAGACAGAGGUGGCAAGCGUUGUUCGGAAUUACUGGGCUUAAAGGGCGCGUAGGCGGCGUGGUAAGUCCGAGGUGGAAUCCCGGGGCUCAACCCCGGAAUUGCCUUGGAGACUGCCGCGCUUGAGUCAGUGAGGGGAGGGUGGAAUUCCCGGUGUAGCAGUGAAAUGCGUAGAUAUCGGGAGGAAGGCCGGUGGCGAAGGCGACCCUCUGGCGCUUGACUGACGCUGAGGCGCGAAAGCGUGGGUAGCAAACAGGAUUAGAAACCCUAGUAGUCC
rnacentral:rRNA from 1 species